AUACGGGGGGUGCAAGCGUUAAUCGGAAUUACUGGGCGUAAAGCGCGCGUAGGCGGUUAAAUAAGUUGGGUGUGAAAUCCCCGGGCUCAACCUGGGAACUGCAUUCAAAACUGUUUAACUAGAGUAUGGUAGAGGGAAGUGGAAUUCCAGGUGUAGCGGUGAAAUGCGUAGAUAUCUGGAGGAACAUCAGUGGCGAAGGCGACUUCCUGGAUCAAUACUGACGCUGAGGUGCGAAAGCGUGGGGAGCAAACAGGAUUAGAUACCCCAGUAGUCC
rnacentral:rRNA from 1 species